rnacentral:rRNA from 1 species
GAUCCUGGCUCAGGAUGAACGCUAGCUACAGGCUUAACACAUGCAAGUCGGAGGGGCAGCAUGGUCUUAGCUUGCUAAGGCCGAUGGCGACCGGCGCACGGGUGAGUAACACGUAUCCAACCUGCCGUCUACGUCUUGGACAGCCUUCUGAAAGGAAGACUUAAUACAAGAUGGCAUCAUGUAGUCCACAUGUUCACAUGAUUAAAGGUAUUCCGGUAGACGAUGGGG